GGUGGGGUCAUAUAAAUAGCAGUCAUUUUGUCCCCUUACCUCAGCCAUCUUAAAAAUAAGAUGGCCCUUUGUUGUUGAUUGUUAUCUUAUUGCGUAUCACUAAUUUUCUUUCUUGUCACAGCCUGCCGGGAAUGGUCCUUGCCGAACCAGUUGGGAAACGGAGUACACUGGAAGAAGGAAUGUUGGGUCUGGUCCCUCCCCUAACCUCGGAAAAUGUUUUGGUAAUUGGGCGUGCCCUUAGUGCCAGGAAAAGGCGGCCAGGGGUUGGCAUGGGGAAUUGGAAGGCCAAGGCCAGUUAUCUUGGACGAGGGGG